CAGCUUGUUGGUGAGGUAACGGCUCACCAAGGCUUCGACGGGUAGCCGGCCUGAGAGGGCGACCGGCCACACUGGGACUGAGAUACGGCCCAGACUCCUACGGGAGGCAGCAGUGGGGAAUAUUGCACAAUGGGCGCAAGCCUGAUGCAGCAACGCCGCGUGCGGGAUGACGGCCUUCGGGUUGUAAACCGCUUUCAGUUCCGACGAAGCGCAAGUGACGGUAGGAACAGAAGAAGGACCGGCCAACUACGUGCCAGCAGCCGCGGUGAUACGUAGGGUCCGAGCGUUGUCCGGAAUUAUUGGGCGUAAAGGGCUUGUAGGCGGUUUGUCACGUCGAAAGUGAAAACUCAGGGCUUAACCCUGAGCCUGCUUCCGAUACGGGCAAACUAGAGGGAUGCAGGGGAGAAUGGAAUUCCUGGUGGAGCGGUGGAAUGCGCAGAUAUCAGGAGGAACACCGGUGGCGAAGGCGGUUCUCUGGGCAUUUCCUGACGCUGAGAAGCGAAAGCGUGGGGAGCAAACAGGCUUAGAUACCCUGGUAGUCCACGCCGUAAACGGUGGGCACUAGGUGUGGGGAACAUUCCACGUUCUCCGUGCCGAAGCUAACG
rnacentral:rRNA from 1 species